GAUGAACGCUGGCGGCGUGCUUAACACAUGCAAGUCGAACGGGAAAUACUUCAUUGAGACUUCGGUGGAUUUGAUUUAUUUCUAGUGGCGGACGGGUGAGUAACGCGUGGGUAACCUGCCUUAUACAGGGGGAUAACAGUCAGAAAUGACUGCUAAUACCGCAUAAGCGCACAGGACCGCAUGGUCCGGUGUGAAAAACUCCGGUGGUAUAAGAUGGACCCGCGUUGGAUUAGCUUGUUGGUGGGGUAACGGCCCACCAAGGCGACGAUCCAUAGCCGGCCUGAGAGGGUGAACGGCCACAUUGGGACUGAGACACGGCCCAGACUCCUACGGGAGGCAGCAGUGGGGAAUAUUGCACAAUGGGGGAAACCCUGAUGCAGCGACGCCGCGUGAAGGAAGAAGUAUCUCGGUAUGUAAACUUCUAUCAGCAGGGAAGAUAGUGACGGUACCUGACUAAGAAGCCCCGGCUAACUACGUGCCAGCCGCCGCCGUAA
rnacentral:rRNA from 1 species